AGUAGAAAGGACACCAGCUUGGAAUCAGUUCGGACCUGUGUCUGCUGCACAGCUGAAUCCCUGGGAAACUCUUUUAGUGUAGCAUGGCAGAAAGAACAAUGGCUAUGCCCACACAAAUACCUGCUGAUGGAGAUACAUAGAGACCGGGUUUCACCACGCUGGCCAGACUGGUCUUGAACUCCUGACCUCUGGUGAUCUGCCCACCUCAACCUCCCAAAGUGCUGCGAUUACAGGCGUGAGCCACUGUACCUGGCCAUCAAAAAGAAAAUAAUAUUCGUUGUUUAACUACGAUUGGACAUUUUGGUUUUGAAUGUUUGCCCAAUCAGUUGGUGAGCAGAUCUAUCCGACAAGGAUUCACUUUUAAUAUUCUCUGUGUGGGGGAGACUGGAAUUGGAAAAUCGACACUGAUAGACACAUUGUUUAAUACUAACUUGAAAGAUAACAAAUCCUCACAUUUUUACUCAAAUGUUGGACUUCAAAUUCAGACAUAUGAACUUCAGGAAAGCAAUGUUCAGUUGAAAUUGACUGUUGUGGAGACAGUAGGGUAUGGUGAUCAAAUA
rnacentral:lncRNA from 10 species